rnacentral:rRNA from 1 species
GAUGAACGCUGGCGGCGUGCCUAACACAUGCAAGUCGAGCGAUUUACUUCGGUAAAGAGCGGCGGACGGGUGAGUAACGCGUGGGUAACCUGCCCUGUACACACGGAUAACAUACCGAAAGGUAUGCUAAUACGGGAUAAUAUGCUUUUAUCGCAUGGUAGAAGUAUCAAAGCUCCGGCGGUACAGGAUGGACCCGCGUCUGAUUAGCUAGUUGGUAAGGUAACGGCUUACCAAGGCGGCGAUCAGUAGCCGACCUGAGAGGGUGAUCGGCCACAUUGGAACUGAGACACGGUCCAAACUCCUACGGGAGGCAGCAGUGGGGAAUAUUGCACAAUGGGCGAAAGCCUGAUGCAGCAACGCCGCGUGAGCGAUGAAGGCCUUCGGGCCGUAAAGCUCUGUCCUCAAGGAAGAUAAUGACGGUACUUGAGGAGGAAGCCCCGGCUAACUACGUGCCAGCCGCCGCAGUAACAC